rnacentral:rRNA from 1 species
UACGUAGGUGGCAAGCGUUGUCCGGAUUUACUGGGCGUAAAGAGCGCGCAGGCGGUCGUUCAAGUCGCGUGUGAAAGCCCCCGGCUCAACUGGGAGGGUCACGCGAUACUGAUCGACUCGAAGGCAGGAGAGGGAAGUGGAAUUCCCGGUGUAGUGGUGAAAUGCGUAGAUAUCGGGAGGAACACCAGUGGCGAAGGCGGGUCUCUGGGCCGAUACUGACGCUGAGGAGCGAAAGCGUGGGAGCGAACGAG